rnacentral:rRNA from 1 species
UACAGAGGGUGCAAGCGUUGUUCGGAAUUAUUGGGCGUAAAGCGCGUGUAGGCGGCUUUGCAAGUCGGGUGUGAAAGCCCUCAGCUCAACUGAGGAAGUGCGCCCGAAACUGCAGAGCUUGAGUACCGGAGAGGAUGGCGGAAUUCCCCAAGUAGAGGUGAAAUUCGUAGAUAUGGGGGAGGAACACCGGUGGCGAAGGCGGCCAUCUGGACGGAUACUGACGCUGAGACGCGAAAAGCGUGGGGAGCAAACAGG